GUAUUCACAUACACUCUACUCUUUUCCAGGGCUGAUGGUUGCUGCAUGAGAAGAUGAGCUUAAGAUACAGCUUAGUGUUAGAAGAAUUGACGUGCAUGCACAAGGCUCUGGGUGCUAUCUCCAACACCACAAGAAAAAAUAAAUACUUAUAGAAAGUUAAGCUUUCUGGCUUACUACCCCUUUCCUUAUGCUGGUGGGGGCGCUGUCCACGGUGCUGAGAAUCUCCUCUCUGGUAGGCAUGGACAGUCUUGGUUCUUUCUCCAUUCAUCCCAGCCUCAAGUGCCUGGUCUUCAGAGGCACUUCAUGAUCCAACAACUUCUAUUUUUUAACUCCAGAUUGUCCUCCACUCUGGAAAAUUUGUUGUUUUUUUGCAAUAGCAACUUUGAAAGGAGCCUCCUGUCUCUUUGGCUUUCCCAAGGACAUUCUGGGAAUAGAAGGGUUCUGCUUCCUCCUUCCCCAGUCUAAAAUUUUAUUUAUUUUGUUAGGCCAUAGAAAUGGAGUUCUCCCAGUUUGACAGAUAUAGGGUUGGCGGCCACCAGAAGCACUGCAAAGAUCCCAGAAGCCUUCCUAAUUGUUCCAGAUGGAUUUUCUGCCUCUGGGAGAAGUUGCUGGAUGAAGAUUCUCAAAGAAACAAACAGCUUUAAAAUGUGUUUUCCACCAAUACACAAGUAUUAGAGACUUACAGGGAGGGCCAGCUGAUCUAUGCCUUUCUUCAUUGGUAGAUCCUCAACUGAGCCCUUUCUUUUAAGUAUCACGAGGUCAGAGAAAUGGAGUGGUACAAUAAAGUUUCUCAACAAAACCCAAGGUCCAUCCUUUAGAAAAGAGAAAUGGGGGGAGAAACUCAGUCACAAAGGAAGGUUUUUAUUCUGAAUCUUUCUUUCUAAAAUCCAAACUCCAUCUUCCCUAGUCUUCUCACAAGGUGUGGAAAUCAGUCUUCUGACACUACUCUCCCCAGCUGAAGGUGUUGGAAAAAGGGACAUGACCCAGUUAACAUUUCAUUGAGAGCCUGUAGGAAUAAAGGAUCCUCAGAGAGGACUAAGUUUAUUUCUCUUUUAAUAGUUAUCCCUUAAUUUAGUCCUACUUCUAGGAAAAGAAAAUUAUAGGCAUCCAAAGUAUAGACCAAUUUUAAUAAUCUCAAUAAAGGAUACCGAUUCAUUUGCUUUCUCUGAAUAUCACAUACUUCCUAAGAAUGAUCUAAGAAAAAAUACAGACUGCAGUUCACACAAACCACAUGUUGAAUUGACCUUUCAUCCCAGGGAUAAAUCUAACUUUUUGAUGAUGAUUAAUCCUUUUCAGGUAUGGUUGAAUUCAGGUUUGCUAAUAUUUUGCUGAGGAUUUUUGCACUUAGUUUCAGCAGGGAUACUGAUCUGUAAUUUUCUUAUCUUGUAGUGUUCUUGUCUGACUUUAGUAUCAUGAUAAUGCUGACCUCAUAAAAAUGGGUUUAGAAUAGUCUUUUCAUUUUUUUGUAAGAGUUUGAGAAGGAUUGAUAUUAGUUCUAAUUUAAAUGUUAGGUGAAAUUCAACAGCAAAUAUAUUAGGUUCUGGGCUUUUCUUUGAUGGGAGACUUUUU
rnacentral:lncRNA from 1 species